rnacentral:rRNA from 1 species
AUUGAACGCUGGCGGCAGGCCUAACACAUGCAAGUCGAGCGAGCGGCGGACGGGUGAGUAAUGUAUGGGGACUGCCCGAUAGAGGGGGAUAACUACUGGAAACGGUAGCUAAUACCGCAUACUAUCGGAUAACCCAUAUGGGAUUAGCUAGUAGGUGGGGUAAUGGCUCACCUAGGCGACGAUCCCUAGCUGGUCUGAGAGGAUGAUCAGCCACACUGUGACUGAGACACGGCCCACGCUCCUACGGCGGCAGCAGUGGGGAAUGUUGCACAAUGGGCGCAAGCCUGAAGCAGCCAUGCCGCGUGUAUGAAGAAGGCCCUAGGGUUGUAGAGUACUUUCAGUCGGGAGGCGUUACCGACAGAAGAAGCACCGGCUAACUCCGUGCCAGCAGCCGCGGUAAUAC